rnacentral:rRNA from 1 species
UUGGAGGGCAAGUCUGGUGCCCGCAGCCGCGGUAAUUCCAGCUCCAAUAGCGUAUAUUAAAGUUGUUGCAGUUAAAAAGCUCGUAGUUGAAUUUCGGGAUCAAUUAAUUGGUCGUGCCUCUGAUACGUACUGAUUUUAUUGGUUUCUCCCUUCUGACGAACCAUGAUGUCAUUAAUUUGGUGUCGUGGAGAAUCAGGACUGUUACUUUGAAAAAAUUAGAGUGUUUAAAGCAAGCUAACGCUUGAAUACAUUAGCAUGGAAUAAUGAAAUAGGACGUUUGAUCCUAUUUUGUUGGUUUCUAGGACCGACGUAAUGAUUAAUAGGGAUAGUUGGGGGCAUUAGUAUUCAAUUGUCAGAGGUGAAAUUCUUGGAUUUAUUGAAGACUAACUACUGCGAAAGCAUUUGCCAAGGAUGUUUUCAUUAAUCAAGAACGAAAGUUAGGGGAUCGAAGACGAUCAGAUACCGUCGUAGUCUUAACCAUAAACUAUGCCGACUAGGGAUCGGAUGAUGUUAAUUUUUUAAUGACUCAUUCGGCGCCUUACGGGAAACCAAAGUGUUUGGGUUC